rnacentral:lncRNA from 1 species
UUUUUAACUUAGGAACCCAAGCUCUUUUGGGUCCUUGUAGGUUAGCUAUUAUUGUUCCUUUUGGAACCCAUAUUUUUUUAAUGGCUAUUUUGUCCAUAGGCUUGCAGAUUUUAGGAUUAUAAGGAAUGUAUUUCUGCAUACUCUUAUUAAAUUUAACAAACAUCGAUUUAAUAUGAGUAGAUGAUGGAUUUUUAAUUUUCUAUUUUUGUUCAUUAGGCUCAUCAGAUAAAUUAGAAUCCAUUUUAGGAUAGAUAGUGGAGGAUUUAACACAUAUGUCAUUAAGAGAUUUUUGUGUAUACCAAGAUUGAUAUCCUAAUCCAGCCUUUUCAAAUUCAGCUCUUUGAUUAUUUAUCAUUAAGUUCAGUUUUUCAGAGCUGAUAGUAAAUUUUUCAACUAUAGGCUUAAAUUUGUUAACUUCUUUAGUUA